rnacentral:rRNA from 1 species
UAAGGAAUAUUGGACAAUGGUCGGAAGACUGAUCCAGCCAUCCCGCGUGAAGGAUGACUGCCCUAUGGGUUGUAAACUUCUUUUAUAUGGGAAGAAACCCCUGGAUUUAUCUGGGGCUGACGGUACCAUAUGAAUAAGCACCGGCUAACUCCGUGCCAGCAGCCGCGGUAAUACGGAGGGUGCAAGCGUUAUCCGGAAUCACUGGGUUUAAAGGGUGCGUAGGUGGCUUGGUAAGUCAGAGGUGAAAGCCCGUCGCUCAACGACGGAAUUGCCUUUGAUACUGCCGAGCUUGAAUUAGGUUGAGGUAGGCGGAAUGUGGCAUGUAGCGGUGAAAUGCAUAGAUAUGCCAUAGAACACCAAUUGCGAAGGCAGCUUACUGGACCUGGAUUGACGCUGAGGC